AUACAUUAAAUCAAAGCAAGAUAGGAUAUCUGAUUCCAAGGAAGAAAACUAUACACAGCAGGUUGAAGCUACAGGGGCAGUCCUGACAUGUUUUUCUCCAUCAAGCUACUUUACUUCAAAAAGUGGACCUUCAGAAACAGCAAUUCCCAUGGAUCAGUGCUUAAAACGAUGUCAGGGUCUUGCUGAGCCAUUGUUGACCCCCUGGGCAGCAAGGUUGUGCGGAGCAGGAGGACUGCAGUGAACUCUUCCCGUGUCUCAGGGGAGCCCAGUGCUGAGUGUGGCAAAACCCUUCAGGGGGGCGUAACACAGUGGAUGAUUGAUUGUACCCGCCAGCUGGCUAAUAUCAUAAUUAACAAAGUUGCUACCAUGUCUGAGAAGUUUAAUCGAAAAAAUUGCCGGCAGUAUGAUGCCAUUGUCACAGAGAUCAGAAGCACUGCAGUGUUGACUUUUGUACUGGUGGAGCCGCAGGACUAUGUAGAUGUGCUGAAAAGUCUUUCGCUGGGAUAACUAAAGGUAUGUU